rnacentral:rRNA from 1 species
CGGGUGAGUAACACGUAUCCAACCUGCCGUCUACUCUUGGACAGCCUUCUGAAAGGAAGAUUAAUACAAGAUGGCAUCAUGAGUUCACAUGUUCACAUGAUUAAAGGUAUUCCGGUGGACGAUGGGGAUGCGUUCCAUUAGAUAGUAGGCGGGGUAACGGCCCACCUAGUCUUCGAUGGAUAGGGGUUCUGAGAGGAAGGUCCCCCACAUUGGAACUGAGACACGGUCCAA